rnacentral:rRNA from 1 species
UACGGAGGACGCAAGCGUUAUCCGGAUUUAUUGGGUUUAAAGGGCGUGUAGCCGGGUCGGUAAGUCAGAUGUGAAAUCUGGAGGCUCAACCUCCAAACUGCAUUUGAAACUGCUGAUCUUGAGUAUCGGAGAGGCAAUCGGAAUUCCUAGUGUAGCGGUGAAAUGCGUAGAUAUUAGGAGGAACACCAGUGGCGAAGGCGGAUUGCUGGACGACAACUGACGGUGAGGCGCGAAAGCGUGGGGAGCAAACAGGAUUAGAUACCCU